AGUCGGGCCUCUCACAUUAUUCGUUCGAUUCGAUUCAUAUACUGAAAAAUAUACAAAUUUCAAAUAUGUCAAGUGCAUUCCAGAAGCUAUCAAAGGUCUUGGCAUUCUGCCUCGCCAACCUCCUAUUUGGCUGGUACAUCUGGCCGAUGGUUUUGUCAGACAUCCCCGUUUGGACAAACAACGAAAUCUACCUCAAUUUGCUCGUUUACCUGCACCAGCUAACAGUCUUUUGGUACGGCCUUCUGGUACUCUCCGAAUGUGCCUUGAUAUUGUUCACAUUUCGCUGAGCGGCGCCUUUCUGGUGCACUCUGCCAUUGGCGGUGGUGGCGAUUUUCGACUCAGUAUCGUCGCUCUCUUGGAUAUGUCUCUCAGCUUCUUCUGCUCGAUUCGCUGGCCGUUUGUUGUUGCAUAAUUGAUCAAUUAAUUUUAAGCAACGAUGGCAAUAAAUUAAUAAGUUUA
rnacentral:misc_RNA from 1 species